rnacentral:tRNA from 1 species
GGGCGAUUAGCUCAGUUGGUUCAGAGCACCUGGUUUACACCCAGGGGGUCGGGAGUUCGAAUCUCUCAUCGCCCA